CCUACGUGGUGCAGCAGUGAGGAAUAUUGGUCAAUGGCCGAGAGGCUGAACCAGCCAAGUCGCGUGAGGGAAGACGGCCCUACGGGUUGUAAACCUCUUUUGUCGGGGAGCAAAGCGAGUCACGUGUGACGCAUUGAGAGUACCCGAAGAAAAAGCAGCGGCUAACUCCGUGCCAGCAGCCGCGGUAAUACGGUGGAUGCGGGGGUUAUCCGGAUUUAUUGGGUUUAAAGGGUGCGCAGGCGGAGGUGCAAGUCAGCGGUCAAAUUGCGGGGCUCAACCCCGUACUGCCGUUGAAACUGGAUCUCUUGAGUGCGGGAGAGGGAUGCGGAAUGCGUGGUGUAGCGGUGAAAUGCAUAGAUAUCACGCAGAACUCCGGUUGCGAAGGCAGCAUACCGGCGCGCAACUGACGGUCAUGCACGAAAGCGUGGGUAUCGAACAGGAUUAGAUACCCGGGUAGUC
rnacentral:rRNA from 1 species